AAGACAGUGGGUUAUCAGAACUUAUUAACAUUAGUGUCACUAAAGUUGGUAUUCAACCUCCCACUGCUAAAUU
rnacentral:sRNA from 1 species